GCUUAGGCAUAGCUCAGUCGGUAGAGCAUGAGACUCUGAAUCCCGGGGUUGUGUGUUCAAGCCCCAUGUUGGGCA